rnacentral:rRNA from 1 species
UACGUAGGGUGCGAGCGUUGUCCGGAAUUAUUGGGCGUAAAGAGCUCGUAGGCGGUCUGUCGCGUCGGUCGUGAAAACCUGCAGCUUAACUGUGGGCGUGCGGUCGAUACGGGCAUGACUGGAGUUCGGCAGGGGAGACUGGAAUUCCUGGUGUAGCGGUGAAAUGCGCAGAUAUCAGGAGGAACACCGGUGGCGAAAGCGGGUCUCUGGGCCGAUACUGACGCUGAGGAGCGAAAGCGUGGGGAGCGAACAGG